GACAUUUAAUAAUGAUUUUAAUUUUGGAAAGUGCAUUUACAAUUCCUUAAGCGCUAAAAAAAUGUUUAGUUAAAGUAAGGAGAAUAUCCACUAUAUAAAUUACAAAGUGAUAAAAUAACUUCUUACAUCCUAACAAGAAAAUAUGGCUAAGACCGGACUAUUUGUUUGUGUUAUGAUUAUCUUUUUAGCCUUUUUUCUUUUUACAAAGAGUGCCCAUGGUUAUUUUUGUGAAAUAGAUUCUGAUUGUCCACCAAAUUUGUGCCCCCUUCUUUAUUGGGCAGUUUGUUUUUACGGUGAAUGUUUAUGUAUUGGAGCUCCAUUGUAACAAAUUAUUGGCUAUAAAGAUCCUAUAUUUAGCUUUGCACCCAAGAGUGUAAACAAUUGUUAUUUACUUAAUGUGAUUGCACCAUGUAAUUUGUUUGUUUUCUUUUUCUAAUUUCACGAAUCUUGUAGUUAUGAAUUCACAUUCUAAAAUGAUGGUUAUCAAAUGAAAUAAAACACAUAAUAAUAUUA